rnacentral:rRNA from 1 species
AACGAACGCUGGCGGCAUGCCUAACACAUGCAAGUCGAACGAGACCUUCGGGUCUAGUGGCGCACGGGUGCGUAACGCGUGGGAACCUGCCCUUAGGUUCGGAAUAACUCCCCGAAAGGGGUGCUAAUACCGGAUAAUGUCUUCGGACCAAAGAUUUAUCGCCUUUGGAUGGGCCCGCGUUGGAUUAGCUAGUUGGUAGGGUAAAAGCCUACCAAGGCGACGAUCCAUAGCUGGUCUGAGAGGAUGAUCAGCCACACUGGGACUGAGGCACGGCCUAGACUCCUACGGGAGGCAGCAGUGGGGAAUAUUGGACAAUGGGCGAAAGCCUGAUCCAGCAAUGCCGCGUGAGUGAUGAAGGCCUUAGGGUUGUAAAGCUCUUUUACCCGGGAUGAUAAUGACAGUACCGGGAGAAUAAGCUCCGGCUAACUCCGUG